CUUAAAGGAAUUGACGGGGGCCCGCACAAGCGUGGAGUAUGUGGUUUAAUUCGAUGCAACGCGAAGAACCUUACCAGCCCUUGACAUACCGGUCGCGGACACAGAGAUGUGUCUUUCAGUUCGGCUGGACCCGGAUACAGGUGCUGCAUGGCUGUCGUCAGCUCGUGUCGUGAGAUGCUGGGUUAAGUCCCGCAACGAGCGCAACCCUCGCCCUUAGUUGCCAGCAUUUAGUUGGGCACUCUAAGGGGACUGCCGGUGAUAAGCCGAGAGGAAGGUGGGGAUGACGUCAAGUCCUCAUGGCCCUUACGGGCUGGGCUACACACGUGCUACAAUGGUGGUGACAGUGGGCAGCGAGCACGCGAGUGUGAGCUAAUCUCCAAAAGCCAUCUCAGUUCGGAUUGCACUCUGCAACUCGAGUGCAUGAAGUUGGAAUCGCUAGUAAUCGCGGAUCAGCAUGCCGCGGUGAAUACGUUCCCGGGCCUU
rnacentral:rRNA from 1 species